AUUGAACGCUGGCGGCAGGCCUAACACAUGCAAGUCGAACGGUAACAGGAAGAAGCUUGCUUCUUUGCUGACGAGUGGCGGACGGGUGAGUAAUGUCUGGGAAACUGCCUGAUGGAGGGGGAUAACUACUGGAAACGGUAGCUAAUACCGCAUAACGUCGCAAGACCAAAGAGGGGGACCUUCGGGCCUCUUGCCAUCGGAUGUGCCCAGAUGGGAUUAGCUAGUAGGUGGGGUAACGGCUCACCUAGGCGACGAUCCCUAGCUGGUCUGAGAGGAUGACCAGCCACACUGGAACUGAGACACGGUCCAGGCUCCUACGGGAGGCAGCAGCGGGGAAUAUUGCACAAUGGGCGCAAGCCUGAUGCAGCCAUGCCGCGUGUAUGAAGAAGGCCUUCGGGUUGUAAAGUACUUUCAGCGGGGAGGAAGGGAGUAAAGUUAAUACCUUUACUCAUUGACGUUACCCGCAGAAGAAGCACCGGCUAACUCCGUG
rnacentral:rRNA from 1 species